AUGCGGCUCCUGCGGCGCAGCCGCGCACGGGCCAAGGCGGAGCCUAGGCCGGUGCUCUAGAUCCGCAACCACUACGCCGGCAAGGAGAAGCUGUAUGGCAAGGUGGCCGACUAGGAGAUGGUGGAGGAGCAUGAUAGCUAGGUGCUGCUCGAGGAUGACAACACGGAUGUCUCCUUCCUCAUGGUUUCCAAUGCUUGAGAUGCGGGAGAGGUUGUUGGAGAUGGAGUCGGAGGACUGCUUGAUGAGGAGGUUGGAGUCUGCGGAGUCGAUCAGGACUUGGUAGCUGCGGCCGAUGAGCUGCCGGAGCUCCUUCUUAGCGGAGAUCUCGCGGCGGGUGGCGCCCUUCGCCGCGCGGAUCUCUGGUAUGUGCUUGGUGCGGAACAGCUCGUCGGAGUCGGCCACUGCCGCCUUGGAUGGCUGCCGCAGGCAUCGCAGCCGCGCUUGCCCGGUGGAUCUUCGACUUUUACUGUAUUUUCUCACACAUCUUUAUCCCCCAAUCCCUGAAUGCUUUCGCAUUUGUUUUGGCCUUUGUUUGCUGUGAAUUGAAGAUCCCUGGAGAAUGUCAGAGUUUUUGCUACUAGCACGAAGGCUGCCUCCUAGUGAGAAAGUGCAUAAAGAUUAGUCAGACCCAUUCAUUUUUUUUCAGUUGUGUUUAGUUCUUGUUAGUUGAUCUAGUCUCUCAAGGGUUAGUUUAUCUUCAAAGAUCAACAUUCAUGCUACAAGCAGAUCAGUACUAUUUCUUGGUAAUAAUGUUUUUUCUACAAGCAGAUCAGUCUAUUUCUAGGUAGUAAUGUUUUUCUACAAGCAUAUCAGUACUAUUUUUAGGCAAUAAUGUAUUUUUAUACAAGUAGAUUAGUACUAUUUCUAGGCAAUAAUGUAUUUUUUAUACAAGCAUAUCAUUACUAUUUCCAAGCAAUAAUGUAUUUCUUACAAGCAAAUUAUUACUAUUUUCCAGGCAAUAAUGUAUUUUCUAUACAAGCAGAUCAAUUUUUUUUGUUCAGAGAAAUCUUGCAUGUUUUUGGUUCACUCGGCAUCAAAAUCACUAAUCCAGUUUCUAAUCUGCAUUCAAUCAGGAACUAAAAAAAACUCCUUGGUCCUGAUAGAAUUUUUCUCUUGUUACAUUGAUAAUUCUAUUGAAAUGCUUCUAUUGGAAAUUCUCUGUUGCGUCUCAUGUUCCUUACAACCCUUUUUUCAUGUGCAACGAGGAGAACUUAUGGCUUAAAUUCUGAGACUUGGCAUCAAUAAAGGUGGUGCCUGCAGGUCUCCGGCAGCAUAAGAGGAAGGAUAUGUGCAGAUUUGAAGCAGAUUACGUAGAUAAAGCAGACAAAAUAAAUACUUAUGUGCUGUCAUGCUGGUAGUAUAGCUCAAGAACUUUAGGCAUAUAUGCAUGUGUAUGUAAGGCACCGGACAAAAGAAGGUUGGGUA